ACUAUUGAAUUCUCUCUCGUCAACUACCUUGUUCCACUGCCUUUAAAAACCAAUUUCAACAGUAAUCCAAACCCAAUUCCCUCAUUCAUCACUUCUUCAUUUUGCUCCAUUUUUAUUCUGUAAUAAUGGCCACUACUGAUUUGAAAUCCGAUUACUUGUUUGAGAUGAUGAAACUUCACUUGGCUUCUGAUGCUGGUAAAUAGCUCAUCAAGAAGAUUGGCCUCGUUUACCAAAUCAAUAUUGCCCCCAAGAAAAUUGGGAUGGAUGAGGUUUCUUACGUUGUUGAUCUCAAGAAAGGAGAAGCUACCUAACGUUAGCGGAGUUGUCCUUUUUCUGCAAUUAUAUUCUGCUCUUGUUUUUUUUUUUUUACUUUUCUUUUGUUAUUAUAGCGGUGUUUGGGUUUGUUUCUUUUGCUCUGCCUGUUGAUAAAUUGUAGCUUUCUAACUUGUAAGGAUGGAAUUGGGUUUGAAGUUUGUAUCUUCUGCAACCUAUAUGUUAUGUGAAUAUGUAAGGUAUGAAACUUGAAUCACACAUCGAAAGUAUUCUUCUAGUUAGAGCAGUUCUGGUAUAAUAUGUAGUUUUUCUGGCGUUGUUUUCCAAAGAAUUACAUCAAUUGGGGUUGAAACCAUGCACCAUAUCUCUUGCUGCAACCGUGUCACACCAAUCAUGGGGCCGAAAUAGUAGUGUAUGUCCCGAGCUAGAUUAAGUUAAGCAUUGUGGCGUCCGAUGGGGUGUCUUAAUUGCGUUGUGAUAGGUGUGCAUAAUUGCAUGUCGUGAGAGUUAAAUCUCACAUCGAAAAUGUUAGAUUUCCUUAUGGAAUUUAUAUGGAUUUAAGCUCUCAUAUUCUGAUAUUGGCGAGUUAACCAUUGCUCCUUUUCCAGUAACUAUAUUCUGAAGCCAUUAGGGAUCUUUCCCUUUUCUUAUGCCUUCUCAGCUUCUCUAUCGUCUUUAUUUGCGUAUUCAACUAUCGCUAUGAAAACCGUAGCAAAGCAGAUCCCAUUUAACUAAUUCAAUAGCUUCACCAUUGUUGUUUUUCACCAUCAACACAUCCUAUUUAGUUUCUUUUCAGCUUUCCCUUCUUUCCUUUAUUAGUUUUUCAAUGGCAAAAUCCAUUAAUUUCACCUAACUAGCAGGUUAGGGGGUUAUUGGUUACCUAACUCUCUUUAACAGAUGAUCUUAUGUUAAAGAUAAGCGAUACCGCUUGUUUCAGUAAGUAUUUUGCCUUUUGAAAUUGCUUCUCAUGACUUUGCAUGUGGUUACUAAAUUAUCUCUGUAGCAUGCUCUUAGAGAUUCAAGCAUGAUUACAUCAAUGAAUAGAUUUAAACGAGCCAUUCACUCUUUCACUAAUAUGAUUUAUGAAGUUGAUAAUGACCUAUUGCUCUGAACAUUAGGUAAAUAUGAAGGGGGAAAGCCUGAUGCUACGUUUUCCUUCAAAGACAACGACUUUGUAAAGGUCGCCACUGGGAAGAUGAAUACCCAGAUGGCUUUUAUGAGGGGUGCGAUGAAGAUCAAGGGAAGCUUGAGUGCUGCUCAGAAAUUCACACCCGACAUUUUUCCAAAGCCAGCAAAGAUGUGAGCAGAGAUGUUAUGGUGCUUGAAUGCUAUGAUAUUAGUAGGUUACCAAAUAGGAUGGCUUCUAAUCGUUAAUGAUUUGGAUUUUAAAAGCUCCUGUCGUAUUUAUUGAUCAAUUGCAGCAUGUUUAUUUAUUCCACUGAAAUUAUAUGCUUUGU